rnacentral:rRNA from 1 species
CCUACGGGUGGCAGCAGUGGGGAAUAUUGCACAAUGGGGGAAACCCUGAUGCAGCAACGCCGCGUGAGUGAAGAAGUAUUUCGGUAUGUAAAGCCCUAUCAGCAGGGAAGCAGAAAGACGGUACCUGACCAAGAAGCCACGGCUAACUACGUGCCAGCAGCCGCGGUAAUACGUAGGGGGCAAGCGUUAACCGGAAUUACUGGGGGUAAAGGGAGCGUAGAGGGUUAAGUAAGUCUGGAGUGAAAGGCCGGGGCCCAACCCCGGGACUGCUCUGGAAACUAGUGAACUUGAGUGCAGGAGAGGUAAGCGGAAUGCCUAGUGUAGCGGUGAAAUGCGUAGAUAUUAGGAGGAACACCAGUGGCGAAGGCGGCUUACUGGACUGUAACUGACGUUGAGGCUCGAAAGCGUGGGGAGCAAACAGGAUUAGAUACCCCAGUAGUC